rnacentral:rRNA from 1 species
AACGUAGGACACAAGCGUUAUCCGGAGUUACUGGGCGUAAAGGGCGUGUAGGCGGAUCGGUAAGUCUACUCUGAAAGCUCCUGGCUAAACUGGGAGAGGCGAGUGGAGACUGUCGGUCUAGAGUGAGGAAGAGGAAAGUGGAAUUCCGCGUGUAGUGGUGAAAUGCGUAGAGAUGCGGAGGAACACCAGUGGCGAAAGCGGCUUUCUGGUCCUUAACUGACGCUGAGGCGCGAAAGCUAGGGGAGCAAACGGG